GUCGUUCGGGGAUGAGGGGUGGAACAAGCGCUGAGCAGUAUCUGACACCGGUGGGGAGUGGCUCUGCACUGCUUUUCUUCUGAGAUCAGC
rfam:Pygoscelis adeliae contig20016, whole genome shotgun sequence.